AACAGCGGCAGCUCGGGAAUGGGGGCUUGGAGCGCGGCGACGGCGGCGGGGCUGGGGCCGGCGCGGAGGAGGGGACGGCCCAGUCCCUCCGCCAGUGCCCGCCCCGAGCCGGAGCAGAGGGGCGCGUCGGGGCCUCGGGCUGGGAAGCUGCGGGCGGUCCCGCUCACGCGCCCAUUGGUCGCUGCGCUGCCGGGGGAGGCCGGGGCCGCGGAGCCACGUCGCCAGCCAGGGUGGUGGGCGCGGGGCUAAUGUU